rnacentral:rRNA from 1 species
GCAUGACCUCGGAUGGGUAGGGAUACCCGCUGAACUUAAGCAUAUCAAUAAGCGGAGGAAAAGAAACCAACAGGGAUUGCCUCAGUAACUGCGAGUGAAGCGGCAAAAGCUCAAAUUUGAAAUCUGGCCCGUCUCCGGCGGCCCGAGUUGUAAUUUGGAGGGGCAUCUUCAGGGGUGGGCGUCGUCCUAAGUUCCUUGGAACAG